rnacentral:rRNA from 1 species
GUGAAUCAUCGAAUCUUUGAACGCACCUUGCGCCCUCUGGUAUUCCGGAGGGCAUGCCUGUUUGAGUGUCAUGAAACUCUCAACCCCCUCGGGUUUUACGACCUGUCGCGGUUGGAUUUGGGUCGCUGCCGCUUCAUUGCCGGCUCGCCUCAAAGGUCUUAGUGGGAAUAGUUGGACCCAUAGCUUGGCGUAAUAAGUUUCGCUGGGCUCGUGGCCGACGACCGUCCGCUGACAACAACCAAUACUUUUAUGAUCUGACCUCAAAUCAGGUAGGGCUACCCGCUGAACUUAAGCAUAUCAAUAAGCGGAGG